AGGGUGCUCUCAGAAUCCAGUCCUGCAGCCAAGGAGGAAGUCCUUCCUUCCUUCAUUUUACCAGGCUGUUUCAAACCAAGGCACUGGGUUUUUUUGAAACUUAUGAUCAGCAGGAAGAAGAGAUGGAAGCAACGCCAUGGACCUUCACGUCCUUCAGAGUGUGGGUGGGCUUGGGCUUUGCAGUGAGAGCAAGUAUCACCCAGGAUGGAGAUGGGAGGUAAUGGGUGGCCCCGACAGGUGCCUCCUACUGCUGGCAGCAAGGAGAGAGUGAAGAGGCAGAAUUUCCUUGGUCUAGACUAGAGUCUGGGUCAUGGGCAUGGCAGUGCUUGAGCUUUUGACCAGAAGCAAGUGGACAUGGAUUUGAGCUUCGGGUAAGAAGGGAGACUUCUCUCCAGGGACCAUAGGGGCUGGCAGCUGAAGAAGGUGACUUGGCCCCUCUCUAGAGGGUGAACGCAGGAUCAAUUCAAGGCCAUGAAGUGGAUGCAGCUGGGAGAGCCUGCUUGGUGCUUUUAAACCUCAACAUGUCAACCGCAAAUACCUCAAACACUGCUCACACCGUGGUAAAAUCUAGUUGCGAAACCUGUCCCGCGGCAGCCUUCUCCAUCCCAGGUGCCCAGGCCCCAUCUCCUGGGAGCAGGCAGCUCUCCCCACCCCGAUUCAUGUCCCUCCUACAGCCCAAGGCAACUCCCUGCCACCUUGGUGAAUGAAGCACAUCAUGCUGCCCAGGCUUCUGAGCUGUUUGCCGUGUUGCGGAGAUGCAGCCUUCAGCCUUGGAUACCCACCCACUCCUCUACUUGGGCAUUGUUUUCACAGGCUGCUCUUCCCUGUAGCUUCAGAGAAGUAGGUCAAGUAGGUUAACUCGCUUUAAGGGAGAAGUGCCAGGGGUUCAAGUCACCCAGCCUGGAGGCAGGAAUCCUGGGUUCUAUUUUUGGCUUCACAGCUAAUCCGCUGUGUGACAGUCGUUAGGAGCUCAUUCUCCCCUCUGGGUCUCCCUGAGCCCUUCUCUAGGUCCCACAAUUUUUUUUUUUUUCCCUGAAGCUAUAUUCCCUGGACUGUCAUAUUCUUCCCUCUUCCCUCCCUCUGGGAGGUGCUUUAAAGCCGUUGGCUGCUCAAGGCUGGCGCCCUAGGCAAGAGGGGCUGCAGUUGUUGUAGCUGAUGAGGAGGAGAUAAGAGGCUUUUCUGUAGACACAGUUGAGCUGAUGGGCUGUGUGAGGCUGGAGUGCCAGGAAACCAGACUCCUGUAACUACAGGACAGGCCCUGGUGAUGUGAUGAUGGGGAUGUGACGGGGAUGCUGAAGCCUGGAAUGCGAGUGGGGGUUCCUGCGUUUUAUGCAAUGGCUGUAGAUUUCCUCCCACUUCUAAGCCUCCCUUUCUGUGACACGCAGGGAAAUUCAGUCUCUAGUUCAUAUGGAAACUUGGGACCUCACUGUGCUGCUUGCUCUUGGCAGAGGAUAUCAUUUGAGCUGUCAUAGCAGAGGACCACAUUUACCAGGGUGCACUUUGGCCAAAGAAUAGUAACCUUUCUAAGGCUUAGUUCCUCUGGCCUGACCAAACCAGUCCCAGGAGGCCCCUGGGUUCCAGUCAAGGUCAUGGGAGAGGCCCACCAUGGAUGAGGCCUGGGGGAGCAGGGUGGAAAUUAAGUGCCCAGGUAUGUUAUGGAUAGCCUGCAGCCCUCUCCAAUCCCUACCCUCCAAACCCAGUGAAGGGGGACAUGAAACAGGUGAGGCAGAGGAGCAAAUGCGGGUCAAGAAUUCCGAACUAUACUUGACUUACAGUGCAGCUGUGAUGUGCACAUUGGUGUGUGCCACGAGACAGCAUAGUGUGGUGGAAAGAAAAUGGGUUUUGAACAGAGUGUCCUGGGUUUGAAUCUCUGCUUGCCCAUGUACUAGAGAGUAGUCGAACCUCUCUGGGCCUCAAUUUCCCAGAUGUAAAAUGGGAAUAGUAGUACUUACCUUGCACGGGUGCUGAGAGAAUUCCAUGAGACGACACAACCCGUGUAAAGUGCCUGGCAUAGGCAUAUCACAUUAGGGCACUCAGUAAAUGUGAUGUCUUUUCUACUUGCCUUCCUGUCAUACCGGUCCCCAUGUUUUGGAUUUCUGCAGCUAAAGUUAAGAAGCUUUUUAAGAUAGGAAUCCCAAUUCUCACUUUGCCUCCUUUUCAUAGCUCACCUAAAUGGCUGACUUCUGUUCAGCACCUCUUCAUGGGUGCACUAUUCUGGAGAGGGAGAUCCUAGAGUUCCCACCUUCUGUUUGUUUGUUUUUGUUUGUUUGUUUGUUUUUUUGUUUGGUUUGUUUUUGUUUUUGAGACAGAGUCUCGCUCUGUCACCCAGGCUGGAUUGCAGUGGCGCAAUCUCGGCUCACUGCAACCUCCGCCUCCCAGUUUCAAGCAAUUCUCCUGCCUCAGCCUUCCAAGUAGCUGAGACUACAGGUGCCUGCCACCACGCCCAGCUAAUUUUUGUAUUUUUAGUAGAGAUGGGGUUUCACCAUAUUCACCAGGCUGGUCUUGAACUCCUGACCUUGUGAUCUACCCACCUCGGCCUCCCAAAGUGCUG
rnacentral:lncRNA from 1 species